GUGCUUGCUUCGGCAGCACAUAUACUAAAAUUGGAACAAUACAGAGAUUAGCAUGGCCCCUGAGCAAAGAUGACAUGCAAAUUUGUGAAGCGUUCCAUAUUUUU
rnacentral:snRNA from 1 species